rnacentral:rRNA from 1 species
AGUGGCGGACGGGUGAGUAACGCGUAAGAAUCUAACUUCAGGACGGGGACAACAGUUGGAAACGACUGCUAAUACCCGAUGUGCCGCGAGGUGAAACCUAAUUGGCCUGAAGAAGAGCUUGCGUCUGAUUAGCUAGUUGGUGGGGUAAAGGCCUACCAAGGCGACGAUCAGUAGCUGGUCUGAGAGGAUGAGCAGCCACACUGGGACUGAGACACGGCCCAGACUCCUACGGGAGGCAGCAGUGGGGAAUUUUCCGCAAUGGGCGAAAGCCUGACGGAGCAACGCCGCGUGAGGGAGGAAGGUCUUUGGAUUGUAAACCUCUUUUCUCAAGGAAGAAGUUCUGACGGUACUUGAGGAAUCAGCCUCGGCUAACUCCGUGCCAGCAGCCGCGGUAAUACGGGGGAGGCAAGCGUUAUCCGGAAUUAUUGGGCGUAAAGCGUCCGCGGGCGGUCAGCCAAGUCUGCUGUCAAAUCAGGUUGCUUAACGACCUAAAGGCGGUGGAAACUGGCAGACUAGAGAGCAGUAGGGGUAGCAGGAAUUCCCAGUGUAGCGGUGAAAUGCGUAGAGAUUGGGAAGAACAUCGGUGGCGAAAGCGUGCUACUGGGCUGUAUCUGACACUCAGGGACGAAAGCUAGGGGAGCGAAAGGGAUUAGAUACCCCUGUAGUCCUAGCCGUAAACGAUGGAUACUAGGCGUGGCUU